GGGGAGGGGGGGCCAGCAGCACUCCCCAGCCUUCUCAUUCUUCUGCUCCCUUAGGAGUCCCGUUUUGGCUAAAGUGGGAGAAAGGCUCUGUCCUUAGCAAUGAGGUUCUUCCUCUGUCCAUGCGCAAAGCCCUGUGUCCCUGCCCCCAGAGGCCCAGAGCAGUGGGCCAGAACCUGGGCCUGAAAGCUGUUCACGGCCUCCAGUGACCCAAUCUUCCCAUGGCUCACUGACCGCACUUCAAAUUCUUUGCCCUUCCUCCUCACCCCUGCUAGCCAUACUCCUCUGAUCACUCACACCUCAUUCACAUUCCCAGACAAGGCUCACUCUCACCCCUUCGCUUGGAUGGACCACUGACUCCCCCUUUGGUGGGGCACCUAAUGAGGUGACCAGCAGGAAGCCCACAUGCCUUGGAGGACUUUAGGGAGCCUGCCAGCAGUCCUUUUCCCGCCGAGCCUCGGCCCACAGACCUGGCCAGCCAGGAUGGGGAGGCUGCCCAGGACCCGGGUGUUGGAACAGUGACACCAAGAGCUACCAGGCCAAUAGCAGCCUGACGCUGGGUCACGUCGCAAGCCCAACGUCAGGACGCAACACCUGGCCGUGGGCCUCACCUCAUCUCCUCGCAAGGCAUUUUAUCGGCUCGCGGCAUCACCAGAAGGAAAAGGGUGUUUUCCAGACCUGGGUCAGAGCGGGUUUCAGUUCAUGGAUAAGCCAGAGCCAUGGCUUCCUUUCCAUCUCUGGGAAUGCAGCCCUUCUCUGGGGGAGGUGGUUCUUACCCGUCCGCCUAAGGACACCACGUGCAGUGCUGAACACCAGGAUCACAGAGAUGGAAAAGGAGAAGACUCUGUUAUACUGCCUGAUGAGAGAGACCGCUGCUUAAACAGGGCCAGAGAGCAAAAGGUACCUGUGGUCAUCGAAGUAUCUGCCAUUUGGGAGCAGGAGUUGGCCGAAGAAUGGAAACAAAACAACAUAGGAAACUGCAUGAAGCUUCGAAACAUUUCAUCAUGAGAAGUGUUGUAAUAGGGCGGAAAUUCCUGGAGAAGAAUGAAGCACGAAAGAAAUAAGAGCCAGAGUGGUAGAAAAAAGCAGAACCAGACACAGAGAUGGAGAGACCGCAGGGAGUCCCCUUUGAAGACAUCUGCCUCCAGGCCCAAGCGGUCUCAGGCCCAGACCCUGACUACCUUCGCAGCCCCGCAGGCGCCCCCUCCCCCGCGCUCCCCCGGACUCUGGCCGGGUCGCUCCUUCUCCCACCCCAGCCGCGCGAGCUUGGUCGGUGCGCCGGGGCCUGCUCCGGUUCCAGAACCAUCUUUGGACGAUACUCACCCGUUAUCCAGCAAUUUUCACACCGGGCUAACCGGAGGGGUAAGGGACUGAUCUGCAGAGACGUGACAAGGAGACAGGGCAGUCAGCCUGCAGAUUCGAUUCUCCACUUCAUGUGGCCCACAAACAGGUGCUUGGUAAUGUCUGCUUGAUGGAUGGAUGGACAAGAUACAUGACUGUGGGGUGAGGAAGGCAAUCUUAGCACACUCCUCAACAAGACAAAGAGUAGCUUAACAGUGAAUCAAAUCACAGCUUUCCUAUGUUGUUUACCCAACUCAUUGGCCAGCUCGAGCUGUUUACCUGGGAACUGUAUAAUCCAGUACUUACAGCUGCAGGCCAAACACAUUCCAGACUAAAGUUCCGCCCCCUUCACGGCACCUACUCUUACCACCACCCCUCCCG